GUAAGAGCCUACCAAGGCGACGAUCAGUAGCUGGUCUGAGAGGAUGAGCAGCCACACUGGGACUGAGACACGGCCCAGACUCCUACGGGAGGCAGCAGUGGGGAAUUUUCCGCAAUGGGCGAAAGCCUGACGGAGCAACGCCGCGUGAGGGAGGAAGGUCUUUGGAUUGUAAACCUCUUUUCUCAAGGAAGAAGUUCUGACGGUACUUGAGGAAUCAGCCUCGGCUAACUCCGUGCCAGCAGCCGCGGUAAUACGGGGGAGGCAAGCGUUAUCCGGAAUUAUUGGGCGUAAAGCGUCCGCAGGUGGUCAGCCAAGUCUGCUGUCAAAUCAGGUUGCUUAACGACCUAAAGGCGGUGGAAACUGGCAGACUAGAGAGCAGUAGGGGUAGCAGGAAUUCCCAGUGUAGCGGUGAAAUGCGUAGAGAUUGGGAAGAACAUCGGUGGCGAAAGCGUGCUACUGGGCUGUAUCUGACACUCAGGGACGAAAGCUAGGGGAGCGAAAGGGAUUAGAUACCCCUGUAGUCCUAGCCGUAAACGAUGGAUACUAGGCGUGGCUUGUAUCGACCCGAGCCGUGCCGAAGCUAACGCGUUAAGUAUCCCGCCUGGGGAGUACGCACGCAAGUGUGAAACUCAAAGGAAUUGACGGGGGCCCGCACAAGCGGUGGAGUAUGUGGUUUAAUUCGAUGCAACGCGAAGAACCUUACCAAGACUUGACAUGUCGCGAACCCUGGUGAAAGCUGGGGGUGCCUUCGGGAGCGCGAACACAGGUGGUGCAUAGCUGUCGUCAGCUCGUGUCGUGAGAUGUUGGGUUAAGUCCCGCAACGAGCGCAACCCUCGUUCUUAGUUGCCAGCAUUAAGUUGGGGACUCUAAGGAGACUGCCGGUGACAAACCGGAGGAAGGUGGGGAUGACGUCAAGUCAGCAUGCCCCUUACGUCUUGGGCGACACACGUACUACAAUGGUCGGGACAAAGGGCAGCGAACUCGCGAGAGCCAGCGAAUCCCAGCAAACCCGGCCUCAGUUCAGAUUGCAGGCUGCAACUCGCCUGCAUGAAGGAGGAAUCGCUAGUAAUCGCCGGUCAGCAUACUGCGGUGAAUUCGUUCCCGGGCCUUGUACACACCGCCCGUCACACCAUGGAAGCUGGUCACGCCCGAAGUCAUUACCUCAACCUUUCGAGGAGGGGGAUGCCUAAGGCAGGGCUAGUGACUGGGGUGAAGUCGUAACAAGGUAGCCGUACCGGAAGGUGUGGCUG
rnacentral:rRNA from 1 species